UCCAAGCCACAUAUGAGCCUGAAGUGUUUCCGUUCAUGCAACCUGAGCUCAAUUUAUAGGCACCUUAUGGUUUCAUGUGUAGAUAUGUGAAUUUAUACGUGUAUAUGCUUGUAUAAACCUGUUUGUUAACAUACAAAUGCAACUCAAUUAGAGUGCGGCUGCUAGAAGGAAAAGAGGUAUUUUCUUGAUUAGAUUUUUAUAGUUGAACUUUUCUGAUUGUUUCCUUUUAUAAUGCUGACAAAGUGAUGGAUACUGCUUAUUUAGACUUAGUUGUGCUAUUUAUGAGUUUAUCAUUUUUGUAAUAGGUAUAUUGGUUUGGGGCUCAAGUUACCUCUUGGAAGAAUGAGCAUGGGGAAGAAUUACUUUUUCUUAGUAGUAAGUUUUUGGGCUGGAGUGUUCACUCGAAAGGAUCAACAUGUGCUUUCAGUAGCUCUACAUAUUGCUGAGAUGAUCCUGGAAAAGCUUUCUGAUAUUUUCCUGAGUUCAUUUAUCAAGGAAGGUGUCCUUUUUGCUAUUGAUGCAUUGUCAUUUAAUUAACUAUUACGUUUCCUUCUUUCCUUUUAUUUAUUUAAUUUUUAAUUAAACUUGUAUCGAAGAUUGUUUACCUUGAUGGUGUUGGGUUGAUCCAGUAUUGGUAAAAGCACAAAACCCCAAGGACAAAGCAAAGCAAAUUUAUAAAUAUUUGCUUAAAAUGCA